GAUGAACGCUAGCGGCAGGCUUAACACAUGCAAGUCGAGGGGCAGCGCGGGAUAGCAAUAUCCUGGCGGCGACCGGCGGAAGGGUGCGUAACGCGUGAGCGACAUGCCCGUUGCCCGGGGACAACCGGUGGAAACGCCGACUAAUCCCCGAUGGGAUACGACGCUUCAUGGCAUUGUAUUGAAAGUUACGGCGGCGACGGAUUGGCUCGCGUCCGAUUAGCUGGUUGGCGGGGUAACGGCCCACCAAGGCUGCGAUCGGUAGGGGUUCUGAGAGGAAGGCCCCCCACAAUGGGACUGAGACACGGCCCAUACUCCUACGGGAGGCAGCAGUGAGGAAUAUUGGUCAAUGGGCGGAAGCCUGAACCAGCCAUGCCGCGUGCGGGAAGGAGGCCCUAUGGGCUGUGAACCGCUUUUGCCUGGGGGCAAUAAGGGCGUCGCGCACGUCCGAUGAGAGUACCAGGCGAAUAAGCAUCGGCUAACUCCGUG
rnacentral:rRNA from 1 species